rnacentral:lncRNA from 1 species
UUAGGCACAUCUGAUUGAUUUUUGUUGAGAAAGGAUUGUAGCUUGUAGAAUUGCUUGGCAUUCGAAAUCAACGAUGGUAAGCGAAUAAUAGCCAUAUCUUGUUUUGAGGGUUUGAUUUGUUUACUCUGGAUUUAGCUCUAGUUGUUGUUGCACUGUGAAUUCUUGAAGAUUGAGGAUGCCUAUUUAUAUACAAAUAUUUACUUAUUAAUUUAUGCAUAAUAUUUAUAUAUAUUAUAAUUGCUAGAGCUGGAAUUUGGGGGCUCUGAUACUUUUUAAGAGGGGGUCUACAUUACCAAGGAGGUGCACAUGGCUUCUGUCACGAAAUUCCCAAAAAAAGAAAAAAGAAAAAAAUAAAGUUUCUUAUCCAUAGAUCAUCUUCACAUGGUUUAGGAAUCCCACUUGCACCUUUCAAGUUUAUAUCAUGAAUCUAAAUAUGCUUUUAUUACAGGUUCCGGAUAAAAAGGGGCAACAUAUAACCCGGAGUUGCUUAACCGUUUACAUGGUAUGUUCUAAAUAUUUGUGUAAUGAUUUGAAUUUAAUUAUAUAAAUCUUUUUGAUGGGUCCAAGUAUUUUUAAUCCACCUACCAGCAUAAUAUGCCCCCACCUUUUGUUGCAACUGUUAUAGAGGAUAGAUUUCCUUCAUUUUGAAAAGCAGUUAUAUGACUCAUUGGCCUUGCCCACCGUAUUUCAUUUCUGGUAUGUCUUAUUCUUAAUAAAAUAUUUUAAUCGUAAGUUUUGAUAAUAAAUUGAUUUACUAUCU